rnacentral:pre_miRNA from 1 species
UUUACUCGUCGAUCCAAGUAAAUCUCGUGCGGCUUUUGCAUUCAAAGCCGUUCGAGAUUUACUUAAAUCGAUGGUAAA